rnacentral:tRNA from 1 species
GGUGGUAUAGCUCAGUGGUAGAGCACAUGCUUAGCAUGCAUGAGACCCUGGGUUCAAUCCCCAGUACUUUCA